AGCAGUAGCCACGGUAAUGCGUAGGUGGCAAGCGUUGUCCGGAAUUAUUGGGCGUAAAGGGCUCGCAGGCGGUUUCUUAAGUCUGAUGUGAAAGCCCCCGGCUCAACCGGGGAGGGUCGUUGGAAACUGGGAAACUUGAGUGCAGAAGAGGAGAGUGGAAUUCCACGUGUAGCGGUGAAAUGCUUAGAGAUGUGGAGGAACACCAGUGGCGAAGGCGACUCUCUGGUCUGUAACUGACGCUGAGGAGCGAAAGCGUUGGGAGCGAACAGGAUUAGAUACCCCUGUAGUCCCUGUCUCUUAUAC
rnacentral:rRNA from 1 species